rnacentral:lncRNA from 1 species
UGGGGCAGUGCCGUUGCUAAGCGCCGACGUCUUCUAGGAUUCGUUUGCUUGAAGUGUAUGCCAGUCGAAACGCAUGCAAUUUACCGUAUCCUUCUUUCCAAGAUUUUUUUUCUGUCAAGGCUGCAUGUAUUAGUUCACUGGCUUCACAAAUCUUGUUUGAUCAGGAGCUGAUCCCCCACUAUCAAAUAUCAUGGAAGUUUUUGCUGAUACUGAACUCCUCAAGGAAGACAGAAUUAAACCAAAAGGAGAAGCGCACAUCCUGGCAUGUAUUUGCAGGAGUUCAGACAUUUCCACAUUCUGGAGAAGCAGGAGAGCGUGUAGAGCAAUUUGCAUUUACUGAAUUCAGGAGUAAAGCUUUCUUUUGUGAAGUAACAUCUUGA